rnacentral:lncRNA from 1 species
GCCUUUUCUAGGGCCGCUCCCCCGGCAUAUGGAAGCUCCCAGGCUAGAGAUCUAAUCAGAGCUGUAGCCACCAGCCUACGCCAGAGCCACAGCAAUGCGGGAUCUGAGCAGUGUCUGUGACCUACACCACAGCUCACAGUAACGCUGGAUCCUUAACCCACUGAGGAAGGCCAGGGAUCAAACUCGCAACCUCAUGGUUCCUCGUCGGAUUCGUUAACCACUGCACCACAACGGGAAUUCCUAUUUGUUUGUUUUAAAUGUGCAAUUUUACUUAUUUUUUAGGCCUAUUUAUUUAUUUUUUUCUUCUUUUUAUGGCCGCACUUGCAACAUAGGGAAAUUCCCAGGCUAGGGAUCAAAUUGGAGCUGCAGCUGCCAGCCUAGGCCACAGCCACAGCAACAGCAACAGCAACUCGGGGUCUGAGCUGCCUCUGUGACCUAUGCCACAGCUCACGGCAAUCCUGGAUCCUUAACCUGCUGAACAAAGGCAGGGAUCAAACCCACAUCCUGACCGACACUAGGCUGGGUUCUUAACCUGCUAAUAAGCCAUGACAGGAACUCCCUGUACAAACUUUUAAAUAUAUUUCUUAACUGCAAAGAGAAAGAUAGUGUUUUACACAGCAGAAUCCCAGUGAAGGAGAUUAAAAUUUCCAGGAAGAGGACAUGUGGACACUCAGGAGCCCAUGACAUGAUGCACUGAAAAAGACAAGACAUCGAUUCUGUGAUACUCUUGCCAAAGAAAUACAACCCCAUGUUAAUCGUGUGGAUGUCAAAGCCCACAGUGAAGUCUAUGAAUAGUGAGUACUCUUCAAAAGUAUUGAAUCUAUGAAAGGAAAGGGAAGGUUUAGAAAUGAAUAGACUGGAGAGGGCCAAGGAAAAAUCCCUAAAUGUGAUGCGGGACCUUGAAUAGGACCCCAGAGGACAUUAGUGGAAAAAACUGGUAAAAUUCCAAUAAGUUCUGUGGUAUAGAUAAUAGAAUUAGAGCAAUGUUGAUUUCCUAUUGUUGGUUGACCCAAUGUGCACUUUGAUCCCACUGUGAUAUCUAUGGGUAUGGUUAUAGUUAGGGUUAAGACGUUAACAGUGGGGAAAACUGGGUGGAAGUAUACAGGUACUCUCAGCUCUACAACUUUUUUUUUUUUUUUUUUUUUUUGUCUUUUUAGGGCUGUACCCAAGGCAUAUGGAGGUUCCUAGGCUAGGGGCUGAAUCAGAGCUGUAGCUGCCAGCCUACACCACAACCAGAGCAACUUAGAUCCGAGCCUCGUCUGCAACCUACACCACAGCUCAUGGCCAUACUGGAUCCUUAACCCAGUGAGCGAGGCCAGGGAUUAACCCCACAUCCUCGUGGAUUCUAGUCAGGUUCGUUAACCGCUGAGGCACGACAGCAAGUUGUGCUCUACAGCUUUUCUGUGAGUCAAAAAUUAAUUCAAAGUUAAAACUAUUUUUGAAUUUCAAGUUUUCUAAGUGCAACACUCUCCAAAUAAACCAAUCCCAUCUUAGAAGAGUAAUUUAUGGGGUUCAUCUGCCAGCAAUGAAAAAUUCCCAGACUUUGAAUAAAGUAGAAAAAUACAUUGUUUGCCAUAUUAUUAAAAAUCUAGGAUUUCCUGCUGUGGCAAAGUGGGUUAAGAAUCCAAUUGCAGCCACUCGGGUUGCUACGGAGGUGCAGGUUCAAUCUCUGGCUGGCACAGUGGGUUAAAGGAUCCAGCAUCGCUGAAGCUGCAGGGUAGGUCAGAUUCAGCCUAGGAACGUCCAUAUGCCCAGGUGUGGCCAUUAAAAAAAAAAAAAAAAAA